UACGUAGGGUGCAAGCGUUGUCCGGAAUUAUUGGGCGUAAAGAGCUCGUAGGCGGUUUGUCGCGUCGACUGUGAAAACCCGAGGCUUAACCUCGGGCCUGCAGUCGAUACGGGCAGACUAGAGUUCGGUAGGGGAGACUGGAAUUCCUGGUGUAGCGGUGAAAUGCGCAGAUAUCAGGAGGAACACCGGUGGCGAAGGCGGGUCUCUGGGCCGAUAUUGACGCUGAGGAGCGAAAGCGUGGGGAGCAAACAGG
rnacentral:rRNA from 1 species